CCCUCCGAGCCGCCGAGCCGCUCCUACCGGGCCUCGCCGCCCCCCAUUACCAGGCUGGAGGGCACCUCCCAGUAGGAUCCGGCACCCCGGAGGGCUUCAGCGAGCUCCCGAAGAAACCAGGGCGGCGGGGAGAGCGAGACCCGCGCCUCGGGCUCCAGGGAGGGAAAGAAAGCUACAGAAAGCCGGAGCGGGGCUGCACUUCACGCUGAAGUUUCCCUUUUGAAUCGUCUGGAGUUAUGGCCCCUAAAACCAAGCAGAUGACUUCAUCUGGUGUUCAACCAAAAGAAAAUGAUCUGUUCCAAGACUGAAGGAAAAAUUGGCAGUGUUGAACUUAUUAAGAAGCAGUAUGACUGCAGAUUCUACUUUAUGGACAAUAUAAGGCAUUUUCAAGAGGAAAGUUGAAUAUAUGGAAUUUUCUUCUUAAAUAGUGACUUGAAUACUUAACCACCACAGAAGAUGCAACUCCAUGACAAUCUGGCAACAGAGAAUCAAAGCAAAAUGGAAACAACACUGGAACAGAUGCAAAAGUCUAAUAAGAACGUCUUCUCGGACAAAGUUAUUUUAAUGAAAGCGACACUCUGUGCAACCUCCCUGAUUCCUCCUCGUGUUCAACCACCCAAAUUAGAUUCACUUCAUUGGCUGUUUUCAUCAGGUUUCACAACACUGGGGACUAUCCAAAAGAAAUAAAAGUUACCUUUUUGGAUUCACUGGAAACAGUUUUAGCCAACAAGCUCUGACAGAGACAUAAUCUUAAUGUACCUGAACUCUAGAAAGCCAUGGUGAAAGCCAGGAAUUUGGACUGCAUUGUAAAAAGUAGCUACAGGAAGCUGAACCGUGUUUGCCAGUUAGGUGUGGCCAUGCAGCUGAGUCCUGAGCAGAAGGUGAGCAGAAGUGACAAGCAUCGCUUCAGGGCCCGGCUCCCAAAACCACCGGCGUGCGACUCUCCAUGCCCUUUGCCUUCCGGCCUGGUGCAAAUGGCCAGGCACCCUUGGAAGACAUGUGGUACAGAUGGUGAGGCCGUAAGAUGGACGAUGCCCGAGUCCCUGAAUUAUCUCUGGCAGCAGGGCUGGCUGCCCAUCUCAGGCACCCUGCUUCGACUUCAUGUGAUUAGAAAAGGGAAAUUCCUUUGGUGUUUGAGUCACGGCAUAUUUUUUAUUUGUUUCUCAGAACAGUUAGUAUGACCUUAACUGUUACAACAGAUCUAAACCUAAUAAAAGAUGCUAAUAAUUACGA